GUUUGAUCCUGGCUCAGAGUGAACGCUGGCGGCAGGCCUAACACAUGCAAGUCGAACGGCAGCACAGGAGAGCUUGCUCUCUGGGUGGCGAGUGGCGGACGGGUGAGGAAUGCGUCGGAAUCUGCCUAUUCGUGGGGGAUAACGUAGGGAAACUUACGCUAAUACCGCAUACGACCUACGGGUGAAAGUGGGGGACCUUCGGGCCUCACGCGGAUAGAUGAGCCGACGCCGGAUUAGCUAGUUGGCGGGGUAAAGGCCCACCAAGGCGACGAUCCGUAGCUGGUCUGAGAGGAUGAUCAGCCACACUGGGACUGAGACACGGCCCAGACUCCUACGGGAGGCAGCAGUGGGGAAUAUUGGACAAUGGGCGCAAGCCUGAUCCAGCCAUGCCGCGUGUGUGAAGAAGGCCUUCGGGUUGUAAAGCACUUUUGUUGGGGAAGAAACAGCGCAGGUUAAUAACCGGCGUGAAUGACGGUACCCAAAGAAUAAGCACCGGCUAACUUCGUGCCAGCAGCCGCGGUAAUACGAAGGGUGCAAGCGUUACUCGGAAUUACUGGGCGUAAAGCGUGCGUAGGCGGUUUGUUAAGUCUGAUGUGAAAGCCCCGGGCUCAACCUGGGAAUGGCAUUGGAUACUGGCAGGCUAGAAUGUGGUAGAGGGUGGUGGAAUUCCCGGUGUAGCGGUGAAAUGCGUAGAGAUCGGGAGGGAACAUCCGUGGCGAAGGCGGCCACCUGGACCAACAUUUGACGCUGAG
rnacentral:rRNA from 1 species